rnacentral:rRNA from 1 species
UUUUGACCUCGGAUCAGGUAGGGAUACCCGCUGAACUUAAGCAUAUCAUAAGCGGAGGA